rnacentral:rRNA from 1 species
UUCCGUAGGUGAACCUGCGGAGGGAUCAUUACUGAGUUUUCAACUCUCCAAACCAUGUGAACUUACCACUGUUGCCUCGGUGGUUUGGGUCUUCGGGCCUGACCACCGGCGGACUACUAAACUCUUGUUAAUUUUUGGCAUUCUGAAUCAUAACUAAGAAAUAAGUUAAAACUUUCAACAACGGAUCUCUUGGUUCUGGCAUCGAUGAAGAACGCAGCGAAAUGCGAUAAGUAAUGUGAAUUGCAGAAUUCAGUGAAUCAUCGAAUCUUUGAACGCACAUUGCGCCCAUUAGUAUUCUAGUGGGCAUGCCUGUUCGAGCGUCAUUUCAACCCUUAAGCCUAGCUUAGUGUUGGGAGACUGCCUAAUACGCAGCUCCUCAAAACCAGUGGCGGAGUCUGUUCGUGCUCUGAGCGUAGUAAUUCUUUAUCUCGCUUCUGCAAGCCGAUUAGACAACAGCCAUAAACCGCACCCUUCGGGGGCACUUUUUAAUGGUUGACCUCGGAUCAGGUAGGAAUACCCGCUGAACUUAAGCAUAUCAAUAAGCGGAGGAA